UUAGCAAUGAAUAUGAUCUGACCACCUCACGCGGUUCUACUAAACCGACCUUCUUUUUUCUUAUAUAUUACGCAUGUCUACAUAUCUUCAUUACAAAUAUCAUUGUAUUCAUAUUACAUCCAUACACCUCUCAUCUGUACGUAAUAUUUUCCUCUAACUUAUCAAAGAGAAGUCCUAAUCUGUUCGAAGAUGAGCCAAAACCAAUAUGCAGGAGCUUACCCUUCACCACCAGUGUCUACCGGCCCUUACGUGGCACCGCCACCACUCGGUUACCCAACCAACGACACCAGUUAUGCAACGGCCGCUCCGGUUGAGACUAAGUCCAAGGGUGAUGGAUUCUUGAAAGGCUGUUUUGCGGCCAUGUGUUGUUGUUGUGUCCUCGACGUAUGCUGCUGAAGACUUGGAUGUUUUUAUUUGAUUAUCAUAGUUUUUUUUUUUUGUUCAACAAUUUGAUUAUCAUAGUAUUCUGCUUUUUAUAUAAUUGGAUUUGAUUAGCUUAUGACAUUUGGUACUUCUAUUUGUUAAUUCGUUUCUAUUAUCGCUCUAUAUUUGUGUAAUUUCACCAUCUUAUUUACAAAUCGUUUUCCUGCU